rnacentral:tRNA from 1 species
UCGUGGGCGGGCAGCUGUGCGCGGCGUCGCCGAUGACGACGGCGCGGCCGCGGUUCCACGGCGCGUCCACGAG